AAUUGGAGGGCAAGUCUGGUGCCAGCAGCCGCGGUAAUUCCAGCUCCAAUAGCGUAUAUUAAAGUUGUUGCAGUUAAAAAGCUCGUAGUUGAAUUUCGGGAUCAAUAUUUCGGUCAUGCCGUUGGUAUGCACUGUUAUCAUUGAUUUCUCACCUUCUAAAGAACCGUAAUGCCAUUAAUUUGGUGUUACGGGGAAUUAGGACUGUUACCUUGAAAAAAUUAGAGUGUUUAAAGCAGGCUCACGCUUGAAUACAUUAGCAUGGAAUAAUGAAAUAGGACAUCCGAUUCUAUUUUGUUGGUUUCUAGGAUCGAUGUAAUGAUUAAUAGGGAUAGUUGGGGGCAUUAGUAUUCAAUUGUCAGAGGUGAAAUUCUUGGAUUUAUUGAAGACUAACUACCGCGAAAGCAUUUGCCAAGGAUGUUUUCAUUAAUCAAGAACGAAAGUUAGGGGAUCGAAGACGAUCAGAUACCGUCGUAGUCUUAACCAUAAACUAUGCCGACUAGGGAUCGGAUGAUGUUAAUUUUUUAAUGACUCAUUCGGCGCCUUACGGGAAACCAAAGUGU
rnacentral:rRNA from 1 species